rnacentral:rRNA from 1 species
GAUGAACGCUGACAGAAUGCUUAACACAUGCAAGUCGACUCGAGUCUUCGGACUUGGGUGGCGGACGGGUGAGUAACGCGUAAAGAACUUGCCUCAUAGUCUGGGACAACAUUUGGAAAUGGAUGCUAAUACCGGAUAUUAUACUUUCUUCGCAUGGAGGAAGUAUGAAAGCUAUAUGCCCUAUGAGAGAGCUUUGCGUCCCAUUAGCUAGUUGGUGAGGUAACGGCCCACCAAGGCGAUGAUGGGUAGCCGGCCUGAGAGGGUGAACGGCCACAAGGGGACUGAGACACGGCCCUUACUCCUACGGGAGGCAGCAGUGGGGAAUAUUGGACAAUGGACCAAAAGUCUGAUCCAGCAAUUCUGUGUGCACGAUGACGUUUUUCGGAGUGUAAAGUGCUUUCAGUCGGGAAGAAGCAAGUGACGGUACCGACAGAAGAAGCGACGGCUAAAUACGUGCCAGCAGCCGCGGUAAUACGUAUGUCGCAAGCGUUAUCCGGAUUUAUUGGGCGUAAAGCGCGUCUAGGCGGCAAGGAAAGUCUGAUGUGAAAAUGCGGGGCUCAACUCCGUAUUGCGUUGGAAACUGCCUUACUAGAGUACUGGAGAGGUAGGCGGAACUACAAGUGUAGAGGUGAAAUUCGUAGAUAUUUGUAGGAAUGCCGAUGGGGAAGCCAGCCUACUGGACAGAUACUGACGCUAAAGCGCGAAAGCGUGGGUAGCAAACAGG